CUCUAUUUCUAUGGAACGGAAAACGGACACUUUUUCUGUCGAACACCGCUGAAACAAGGGAACGUCUGGCUGCCUCCACGAAAGCAUGCGAACACCGGCUGUUCGGGAGAUUGAGAGCAUACGAAAGACUUAACCCAGAUAGCCCUCCCAUGGAGUCAUUCGUAUACCGAAAGACUGUAAGAACUUUGACUCCAUGGCGAUUGAACUAUGUGUGUGGGAUCUGAGCGCUAUUCGCCAAUAAUAUGCACUCAGAUCCAGGCUAUCUGGGGACAUGUAAU